rnacentral:rRNA from 1 species
UGAGCAAUCUGCCCUUCUCUUUGGAAUAAGCGUUGGAAACGACGUCUAAUGCCGAAUACGACCUCCUUUCGCAUGAUCGGAGGUGGAAAGCUCCGGCGGAGAAGGAUGAGCUCGCGGCCUAUCAGCUAGUUGGUGUGGGUAAUGGCCCACCAAGGCGACGACGGGUAGCCGGCCUGAGAGGGCGACCGGCCACACUGGGACUGAGACACGGCCCAGACUCCUACGGGAGGNAGCG